CCCCUCUCAGGGUCACACCUGGAGAAUUUCCAGUAUUCUUCCAGUCUCGGCCACGGGAGGGAGAGUCAAGCAGAGGUCUACCCAUUCCAAUCCUAGCUUGGGCAGUGACUAGCGAGUGGAAGACAACCUGCUACAAGU
rnacentral:snoRNA from 1 species